GACGAACGCUGGCGGCGUGCCUAACACAUGCAAGUCGAACGGAGUUAUCCUUCGGGGUAACUUAGUGGCGAACGGGUGAGUAACGCGUGAGGAACCUGCCUUUCAGUGGGGGACAACAGUUGGAAACGACUGCUAAUACCGCAUAAUGUUAUCGGACCGCAUGGUCUGAUAACCAAAGAUUUAUUGCUGAAAGAUGGCCUCGCGUCUGAUUAGAUAGUUGGUGGGGUAACGGCCUACCAAGUCGACGAUCAGUAGCCGGACUGAGAGGUUGAACGGCCACAUUGGGACUGAGAUACGGCCCAG
rnacentral:rRNA from 1 species